rnacentral:tRNA from 1 species
UUAAGUGAAGCCAAAAAGAGGCUUAUCCCUGUUAAUGAUAAAAUUGGGUUUAUUCCCCACUUAGA